rnacentral:rRNA from 1 species
AGUAAAAGUCGUAACAAGGUCUCCGUUGGUGAACCAGCGGAGGGAUCAUUACUGAGUUUACGCUCUACAACCCUUUGUGAACAUACCUACAACUGUUGCUUCGGCGGGUAGGGUCUCCGCGACCCUCCCGGCCUCCCGCCUCCGGGCGGGUCGGCGCCCGCCGGAGGAUAACCAAACUCUGAUUUAACGACGUUUCUUCUGAGUGGUACAAGCAAAUAAUCAAAACUUUUAACAACGGAUCUCUUGGUUCUGGCAUCGAUGAAGAACGCAGCGAAAUGCGAUAAGUAAUGUGAAUUGCAGAAUUCAGUGAAUCAUCGAAUCUUUGAACGCACAUUGCGCCCGCCAGCAUUCUGGCGGGCAUGCCUGUUCGAGCGUCAUUUCAACCCUCAAGCUCUGCUUGGUGUUGGGGCCCUACAGCCGAUGUAGGCCCUCAAAGGUAGUGGCGGACCCUCCCGGAGCCUCCUUUGCGUAGUAACUUUACGUCUCGCACUGGGAUCCGGAGGGACUCUUGCCGUAAAACCCCCCAAUUUUCCAAAGGUUGACCUCGGAUCAGGUAGGAAUACCCGCUGAACUUAAGCAUAUCAU